GAAAUGGCCGUAAUUUUUUUUUCAUAACUUGUGCAUAUUCUUCUUGCCAAAUGGUUCAAGUUUGGUAUAAAAGGCUGAGAUUAACGGGGAUUUACCAUCAAAUCAUCGGCAACUACUUUACUACCAAUACAAAUCUCUGAAAACUAGCAAGUUUUUCCAAAAACUUUGACAAAAAUGACUUCCCAAGUUGGACGAAACCAAACUUCGGUUGCCCGAAAGGCUGCAGCCCUUGCAAUCUUUGCCUUGGCGUGGUUGGCUCAGAUGUCUCAGACUGAGGCUGGACGCAAGGGAUGGGGUUGGGGGUGGGGGUGGGGAAAGUAAUUUUCUCCAGGAGAAAGUAAAGGAAACGGGGCUGAUUCACGGGGCUGAUUGACUGUUGUCUUUACAAUUGGAAAGAAAUUGGAAAUAUAAAAUGUUUUUGUAUAUAUUUUUGUAUAGUGAAAUUUUAAAAUAAAAAUAAUUUGACUCCAAAA